rnacentral:rRNA from 1 species
GGGCAACCCUGGUGGCGAGCGGUGAACGGGUGAGUAAUACAUCGGAACGUACCCUGUCGUGGGGGAUAACGAAUCGAAAGAUUCGCUAAUACCGCAUACGACCUGAGGGUGAAAGCGGGGGAUCGCAAGACCUCGCGCGAUAGGAGCGGCCGAUGUCGGAUUAGCUAGUUGGUGGGGUAAAGGCUCACCAAGGCGACGAUCCGUAGCGGGUCUGAGAGGACGGCCCGCCACACUGGGACUGAGACACGGCCCAGACUCCUACGGGAGGCAGCAGUGGGGAAUUUUGGACAAUGGGGGCAACCCUGAUCCAGCCAUUCCGCGUGAGUGAAGAAGGCCUUCGGGUUGUAAAGCUCUUUCGGCAGGAACGAAACGGCGGGCUCUAACAUAGCCUGUCAAUGACGGUACCUGAAGAAGAAGCACCGGCUAACUACGUGCCAGCAGCCGCGGUAAUACGUAGGGUGCGAGCGUUAAUCGGAAUUACUGGGCGUAAAGCGUGCACAGGCGGCUUUGUAAGACAGGUGUGAAAUCCCCGGGCUUAACCUGGGAACUGCGCUUGUGACUGCAAGGCUUGAGUGUGGCAGAGGGGGGUGGAAUUCCACGUGUAGCAGUGAAAUGCGUAGAGAUGUGGAGGAACACCGAUGGCGAAGGCAGCCCCCUGGGUCGACACUGACGCUCAUGCACGAAAGCGUGGGUAGCAAACAGGAUUAGAUACCCUGGUAGUCCACGCCCUAAACGAUGCCAACUAGGUGUUGGGGAAGGAGACUUCCUUAGUACCGUAGCUAACGCGUGAAGUUGGCCGCCUGGGGAGUACGGUCGCAAGAUUAAAACUCAAAGGAAUUGACGGGGACCCGCACAAGCGGUGGAUGAUGUGGAUUAUUUCGACGCAACGCGAAAAACCUUACUUACCCUUGACAUGCCAGGAACCCUGCUGAGAGGUGGGG